rnacentral:rRNA from 1 species
ACAAGCGGUGAGUGCUUUGGGGUGGGGUGACUGCGUACCUUUUGUAUAAUGGGUCAGCGACUUAUAUUCUGUAGCAAGGUUAACCGCAUAGGGGAGCCGGAGGGAAACCGAGUCUUAAUUGGGCGUUAAGUUGCAGGGUAUAGACCCGAAACCCGGUGAUCUAGCCAUGGGCAGGUUGAAGGUUGGGUAACACUAACUGGAGGACCGAACCGACUAAUGUUGAAAAAUUAGCGGAUGACCUGUGGCUGGGGGUGAAAGGCCAAUCAAACCGGGAGAUAGCUGGUUCUCCCCGAAAGCUAUUUAGGUAGCGCCUCGUGAAUUCAUCUCCGGGGGUAGAGCACUGUUUCGGCUAGGGGGCCAUCCCGGCUUACCAACCCGAUGCAAACUGCGAAUACCGGAGAAUGUUAUCACGGGAGACACACGGCGGGUGCUAACGUCCGUCGUGAAGAGGGAAACAACCCAGACCGCCAGCUAAGGUCCCAAAGUCAUGGUUAAGUGGGAAACGAUGUGGGAAGGCCCAGACAGCCAGGAUGUUGGCUUAGAAGCAGCCAUCAUUUAAAGAAAGCGUAAUAGCUCACUGGUCGAGUCGGCCUGCGCGGAAGAUGUAACGGGGCUAAACCAUGCACCGAAGCUGCGGCAGCGAACGUAUCACUUAAAGCGAUUCAGCGGGUUACGAUUGACGGAGCGAAGCGACGUCAAAGCGUAUACAAAGUCGAGUCGGUUUAAGGAUACGUUCGUUGGGUAGGGGAGCG